rnacentral:tRNA from 1 species
GGUGUUAUGGUGUAAUGGAUAGCAUUUCAAACUCUGACUCUGACAAUCUGAGUUCAAAUCUCAGUAGGACCU